AUUGAACGCCGGCGGCAGGCCUAACACAUGCAAGUCUAGCGGAUGAAGCUAGCUUGCUCCUGGAUUCAGCGUCUGACGGGUGAGUAAUUCCUAGGAAUCUGCCUGGUAGUGGGGGAUAACGUCCGGAAACGGGCGCUACUACCGCAUACGUUCUGCGGGAGAAAGUGGGGGAUCUUCGGACCUCACGCUAUCAGCUGAGCCUAGGUCGGAUUAGCUAGUUGGUGAGGUAAAGGCCUACCAAGGCGACGAUCCGUAACUGGUCUGAGAGGAUGAUCAGUCACAAUGGAACUAAGACAAGGUCCAGACUCCUACGGGAGGCAGAAGACGGGAAUAGUGGAAAAGGGGCGAAGGCUAGAACAAGCAAUGCCGCGUGUAUGAAGAAGGGCAUCGGAUUGUAAAGCACUUUAAGUGGGGAGGAAGAGCAGUAAGUAAAUACAUUGAUGUUUUGACGUUAAAAACAGAAUAAGCACAGGAUAACUUAGUG
rnacentral:rRNA from 1 species